rnacentral:rRNA from 1 species
UACAGAGGUCUCAAGCGUUGUUCGGAUUCAUUGGGCGUAAAGGGUGCGUAGGUGGCGCUGUAAGUCGGGGUGUGAAAUUUCGGAGCUUAACUCCGAAACUGCAUUCGAUACUGCGGUGCUUGAGGACUGGAGAGGAGACUGGAAUUCAUGGUGUAGCAGUGAAAUGCGUAGAGAUCAAUGAGGAAGACCAGUGGCGAAGGCGGGGUCUC